UCCCAGCACUCCAAGUCGCAGCCACAAUUAUUGGGUCUAAAACAUCCGUAGCUUGUUUUGUAAGUCUUUUGUCAAAUCGGGAAUCUUAAGUUUCCGGCGAGCAAAAGAUACUGCUCAACUAGAGACCGGGAGAUGUAAGGAGUAUGGAUAAUGUAGCGGUAAAAUGCGUUGAUCUUAUCCAGACUAACAAUAGCGAAGGCACCUUACAAGAACGGAUCUGACAGUGAGGGAUGAAAGCGUGGGUAGCGAACAG
rnacentral:rRNA from 1 species